AGUGAACGCUGGCGGUAGGCCUAACACAUGCAAGUCGAACGGCAGCACAGUAAGAGCUUGCUCUUACGGGUGGCGAGUGGCGGACGGGUGAGGAAUACAUCGGAAUCUACUUUUUCGUGGGGGAUAACGUAGGGAAACUUACGCUAAUACCGCAUACGACCUACGGGUGAAAGCAGGGGAUCUUCGGACCUUGCGCGAUUGAAUGAGCCGAUGUCGGAUUAGCUAGUUGGCGGGGUAAAGGCCCACCAAGGCGACGAUCCGUAGCUGGUCUGAGAGGAUGAUAGGCCACACUGGAACUGAGACACGGUCAAGACUCCUAAGGGAGGCAGCAGUGGGGAAUAUUGGACAAUGGGCGCAAGCCUGAUCCAGCCAGACCGCGUGGGUGAAGAAGGCCCUCGGGUUGUAAAGCCCUUUUGUUGGGAAAGAAAAGCAGCAGGUUAAUACCCCGCUGUUCUGACGGUACCCAAAGAAUAAGCACCGGCUAACUUCGUG
rnacentral:rRNA from 1 species